UACAGAGGGGGCAAGCGUUGUUCGGAAUUACUGGGCGUAAAGGGCGCGUAGGCGGCCUGCUAAGUCGAACGUGAAAUCCCCGGGCUCAACCCGGGAACUGCGUCCGAGACUGGCGGGCUUGAAUUCGGGAGAGGGAUGCGGGAUUCCAGGUGUAGCGGUGAAAUGCGCAGAUAUCAGGAAGAACACCAAUGGCGAAGGCAGCUCUCUGGGACGGUACUGACGCUGAGACGCGAAAGCGUGGGGAGCGAACAGG
rnacentral:rRNA from 1 species